GAGAUGCCUUUGGUUCAGUGGUAGAUCACUUGCCUCAUUUGCAAAAGGUCUGGGGUUCAGUCCCUGGCAUCUCA